rnacentral:rRNA from 1 species
CCAGACUCCUACGGGAGGCAGCAGUGGGGAAUAUUGCACAAUGGGGGGAACCCUGAUGCAGCGACGCCGCGUGGGUGAAGGAGUAUUUCGGUAUGUAAAGCCCUAUCAGCAGGGAAGAACAAUGACGGUACCUGACUAAGAAGCACCGGCUAAAUACGUGCCAGCAGCCGCGGUAAUACGUAGGGGGCGAGCGUUAUCCGGAUUCACUGGGUGUAAAGGGAGCGUAGACGGCCAUGCAAGCCAGGGGUGAAAGCCCGGGGCCCAACCCCGGGACUGCUCUGGAAACUGCGUCGCUGGAGUACGGGAGGGGCAGGCGGAAUUCCUGGUGUAGCGGUGAAAUGCGUAGAUAUCAGGAGGAACACCGGCGGCGAAGGCGGCCUGCUGGACCGUGACUGACGUUGAGGCUCGAGAGCGUGGGGAGCAAACAGGAUUAGAUACCCGAGUAAA